GUUGCUCUUCUAAUCCAUGUAGGCGUCGUGUACCCGACCUUAAGCUUCUCAACAUUGGUAAAGUAGGAAGCCUUCUCCUGCAAUUCAUAAUUCAUUCAACCGUUAGUGUGGUGCAAGGAUGAAACAUUUGUGUGGUGCAAGGCAAUGGAUCUCAGGAUAAGAAUUAACAAACGAGGAAUAGUUGAACAACUCAUGCAAAAUGGCAAGGCGGAUAUGGAAACUAACAUUCGAGCAACAGUUUGAAUCGAUGAACAUAGAUUGUACAAACCCUAACAAGGCUACACACUAGAACCCUAAAUACCACCACAAGCAUGUGUGACACGCAUGUAGUACCGUUCAGCUCCUGUACGACCCACCUCUAUCUCUCCAUGGUUCUGCUGCUAGCCUGACGUGCUGCUACUCUGGUACACGGUGGAAAGUGCAGAACCGAAACAUUUUUUUUGUGGGUAGAUCCAAGACAGUUGCUACACGAGAAGUCUUAUCUCAUUACAAGUUGAUUAAUUUAACAUGGUGCUUCCGGAUAGAGAAGUUCUUUGAUUAAAAUAUUGAGCUAUGGGGCUGGAUACACACGGAUACAAUUGUUCAAUAAGUGUUUUUAGUAGAUUGUAGUCAAUAGCUUUGACCACGCAAAGAUCUUAUGUGCAUGUAACUUAGGGGGACUGACACACAGAGCUUAUACAAAUAAAUUGCAAAGUUAACAAGUAUUUUUUAUUGACAACUCUAUAAAAAUAUACGAAAAAGCUUAAUAUCUUACACAUUUUUAUAAGUAUAUUGUGAGGACAUAGCGCCCGCAAUAGCGUCCGCAAUUUGAAAGCUGCUAUACCGACCCAAACCCAUAACGAGCCCGCUAUCCGCUAUUUAAAAUUGUGCAAUAGUGAUGAAACACUCAACCGUCAUAGUGGUUCAACACAGAGAUAGGAUAAACCAUUACCUCUUAUGUACUUCUCCCUCGAUGGAUGCUCGCUAUGGUUGGUGGCCUUCACAAUCACAACGUCCAGUUCCUGUUUGUUCCGAAUAAAUGGUAAGCCAGCAGUGAGUGAAGCAUGAUAAAAGUAGAGGUUCAAAUAUGAAAAGCUUCAAAUACAAUUCAACAUUCAAUGGAAUCAUAAAGUGGCC
rnacentral:lncRNA from 1 species